rnacentral:rRNA from 1 species
AUGGUUCAGAGAUGCUUCCAGCUAGCAAACGGUGCUAGACUAAUCCAUUCAUGUGAUGAGGUCCACUUUCCAACUUUGCAUAGCAAGCAUUGGUUCGAUUUUGUUGUCUUGUUUAAGCAUGAAAUGUUUGUAAUUCUGGACUCAGCAUUCGAUGCAGACAGUGAUUUUCACCAGCACGUGUUCAAUAUUCUGAUACCAAAUUUCAAAAGAGUUUGGAAUAUGUAUGGGAGCUCAAGAAAUCUGAACUGGAGAAAUUGGACCACGCACUUUAUCGAUGUACCUAAACAAAGUAAUGAGUUUGAUUGUGGCAUAUAUACGGCACUCUUUCUAAAGCAUUGGAAGCCUGGGGUACUGAUGCAUGAUAUUCUGAAGGAUGAAGAUAUUGCAAACAUCCGAAUUAGAAUGGCAAAUGAAAUGAUGUUCACUAAUCACAAUAUCCUGAAUGACCAUAAGAAGUUGGUUCUUGAGUUCUAG